rnacentral:rRNA from 1 species
UACGAAGGGUGCAGGCGUUACUCGGAAUUACUGGGCGUAAAGCGUGCGUAGGUGGUGAGUUAAGUCUGUCGUGAAAGCCCCGGGCUCAACCUGGGAAUGGCGAUGGAUACUGGCUCGCUAGAGUGCGGUAGAGGAGAGUGGAAUUCCCGGUGUAGCAGUGAAAUGCGUAGAGAUCGGGAGGAACAUCAGUUGCGAAGGCGGCUCUCUGGACCAGCACUGACACUGAGGCACGAAAGCGUGGGGAGCAAACAGG